rnacentral:lncRNA from 1 species
AGUCACCACAUCCUCUGGAUCUUCUGUUGGCUUUGAAUCAUGCCAUCUUUGUGAAAGGAGAUCAAACGUGGUUUACAAUAGAGCCUUCCUUUGGUGUGGAAGCUUCUCAGCUUUACCCUGAUGUCAAGUACAUAAGCGUCGAUGAGUACCUCAACCAGUUUGUGUAAGAAGUAAAGGAAAUGUCUUCGCCUUGUGGCAACUAUUUACUGUAAUGAGAGAUUAUGACCAUUGGUCUGUAAUGCCAAAUUUAAUAAGACAUAGUUAAUGAUUGUUGAUUGCAUCAAGAGGUGAACCAAACUCUUAUCAAAAACAAUGACACACGGGUAUCGCGCAUUUCAUUAUAAGGUGAACAAUAAUAGUCUUUCUAAGCAACAUAGCUCGAAGGGUAUGGUCCACUUACUCGUUCACAUUCCAUGCGCAACCCGCGACCAGAAACUCUUUCUUAGCUUUGGCUUUCUUGAAUGACACUCUCGGCUUAGCUACGUACAUUGGUCAAGCUCUUGUGAGCCGCACACAUGACCAACCCCAAGACAUAGCUGUUUAUGUACGGUGCAGUUCAUUUUUAUUUCAUGCUUUAUGAAUCGCAUUUGGAUCGCACCACUAACCCCAAAAUACGGCUGCUUGUAUGUUUUAUGAAUCGUAUUUAAACGGCACACCAACCCAAAAACAGGGCAAUUUAAUUUUACAAUCUUUUAAAAAAAUCAUAUUAGUUGAUUUUAUCCACUUAUACAAUUUUAAAAAUUAUAUUCAAUCCAAUUAAUAUUUUUAUUCAAUAAUUAUACAGUACUUCUUGUAUUGACUGAUUCAGAAUAUCAAACUGUUUGUGUUGUUUUAUUCAUUCAAUCGACUUGAGUCUUUAUAAAACGUUAGAGAUAAACUCUAGUCCUAGAUCUUAGGAGAUAACUCUUAUCGUUACAAGUCUAUCUUUAUCUCAAGAAUAUUCUAGCUUAUCGCUAAUACUCCCCCUCAAGGUGGUGCGAAGAGAUUUCGAACGCCCAUCCUGUCAAGUAGGUAGUGAAACUGUUGACUUCCUAAUGGUUUAGUUAGUAUGUCGGCCAAUUGGUUUGUUGUUCGAACGUGCCUUGUAACUAUCGAGCCAUCUUGAACUGCAUCGCGAAUGAAAUGACAGUCGACUUCAACGUGUUUGGUUCGUUCGUGAAACACCGGAUUCGCUGCAAUGUGAAGAGCAGCCUGAUUGUCACAGUACAGAGAAGUAGGAGCCAGUUGUCGAAUGUCCAGACUCUGCAUCAGUUGUAUAAUCCAUUUGAGUUCACAAAGAGUUAAGGCCAUAGACCUGUACUCUGCUUCGGCUGAGGAGCGUGAUACGACGCCUUGUUUCUUUGUUUUCUAAGACACGAGCGACCCGCCUAACAUGAUAACGUACCCGGUUAGUGAUCUUCUGGUGAUAGGACAAGCAGUCCAAUCUGAGUCGCAAUAGGCAGAAAGAGUAAGAUCAUUAUGAGCGCUUAAGAAGAUGCCUUGGCCGGGAUCCUUUUUGAGAUAUCGUACAACGCGGAGAGCUGCAUUCCAAUGUCUCAGUCUUGGCUUUUGUAGGAACUGUGCUAGAGUAUGAACCGCAUAGCUGAGGUCUGGUUUCGUGACUGUUAAGUAAACUAAGCGCCCAACUAGUCUCCUGUACUUAGUUGGUUCAGAGAAGAAUUCGCCUUUGUCACGAGCCAGUGUUUGAUUUUGUUCCAUUGGCGUGUCUAUGGGCUUGGUUCCCAGAAGACCACAUUCAGCUAUGAUGUCAAGCGCAUACUUCUGUUGUGAUAGAUAGAUGCCUUCUUUGUUUCGGGAGACUUCGAUGCCAAGAAAGUAUUUCAAAAUCCUGAGGUCCUUCAUGUGAAACUUACGGUUAAGAUACGCUUUGAAUUUAGAGAUGAGAUCAGAAUCGUUACCACCAAUAAUCAGAUCAUCGACGUAGACUAGUACGUACACGAUUGACGAACCUUUCUUCAGGGUGAAUAAGGAGUAAUCAGAGUAGUUUUGUUUGAAACCAAAAUCUUUCAGCACUGAUGAUAACUUGGCGAACCAGCAUCUCGGUGCCUGGCGCAGACCGUACAGAGACUUUCUUAACUUGUAGACUUUGUUUGGAGAAGAUGCCGAGAACCCAGGUGGAAGUUUCAUAUAGACUUCAUCGUCCAGAUCACCGUGGAGGAAUGCGUUGUGUACGUCCAUUUGAAACAACUCCCAACCUUUAGCUCCUGAGAUUUCAAGGAGAAUACGUACUGUGGUCAUCUUGACUACUGGCGCGAAAGUUUCUUUAUAAUCAACGCCCUCCUCUUGUCGAUUUCCCAAGAUAACUAGGCGAGCUUUAAAACGUUCAAUAGUGCCAUCUGCUCGAUAUUUGAUCCGAAACACCCACUUGCAUCCAAUAGCUACUUUUCCUGGUGGUAAGUCAGUAACGUCCCAAGUGUGAUUUUUGUCGAGUGCAUCUUCCUCAACAAAGACGGCGUUGUUCCAUCUUGGAUCGCGAAUGGCUUCGUUGUAGCUGAUUGAUUCAUGUUCGAUAGCCACUUUUGCGAGAUAAGCCUGAUGUUCAGGAGACAAGCGAUGAAACGAUACAUAGUUAGUUAAGGGAUAAGGAGACUUACUUGAGGACAAUGAUGCUGGGUCGGAGUCGAGAGGAGCGUAAUGGGGAUCUUUAACUUGUGUUGUGUAGGUUACGUAUGGCUUAAGUAAGACUGACGUCUGUUUCUGUCGUCUUUCUCGACCAAGUUCUGGAUCAUUGUUUGGAGCAGAAGGUUCUGGAACUGUUGUAGUGUCAACUGGAGGCGUAGCUCCCCCUGAAGGAGGUACGAUCGGCGGCGUAGCUCCCCCUAGAGGAGGUACGAUCGGCGGCGCUUGUUCUUGUACUUGUUCAGUCUCAAAGAUUGCCGGAUGAGGGAGUUGAACAUUGUGUUCAUUAAUAUCGAUGGCCUGAGGUGGUGUUUCAAUAAAAGGAAACUUGUCUUCGUGAAAUACGACGUCGCGGGAGACAAAUGUUUUCUCUGUUUCUAGAUCAAAGACAAGCCACCCUUUCUUUCCCAUAGGGUAACCAAGGAAGAGACAUUUGGUGCUCCGGGUAUCGAAUUUGUCUCUGUUUCGUGUGAUGUUUCUAGCAAAGCAGAUGACGCCAAAGGUUCUCAAGUGGUCGUAGAUGGGAGCUUUCCCGUGAAGGAGUUCAUAGGGCGUCUUGUAGUUCAGUAGCUUGUUUGGUGUUCGGUUGAUCAGGUAUGAGGCGGCUAAAACACUUUCUCCCCAAAAACGUAUCGGGAGGUUUGCUUGAAACAUCAAUGCAUGCGCCAUGUUGAUGAUGUGUCUAUGCUUGCGCUCCACUCUACCGUUCUGCUGUGGUGUUUCGACGCAAGAUGUCUGGUGAACGACACCUUGUUCGGAGAAGUAGCUGCGAAGGCAUGUGAACUCAGUUCCAUUAUCGCUUCUUACUGUCUGUAUAUGUUUCUUGUACUGUCGCUCAACAUAGGCAAAGAACUUUUUGAUAGCUGUUGGUGCUUCUUUCUUUUCGAGCAACAGUAUAGUCCAAACUGCUCGAGAAUGAUCGUCUACUAUUGUUAAGAAGUAGCAUGCGCCGUUGAGAGAAGGGGUUUUGUAGGGUCCCCAGAGGUCGCAAUGUAUGAGAGAAAAAAUGUCAUCAGCUUUAUUAUUACUUUGAGGAAAAACACCGCGGGUUUGUUUAGCCCGAACACAAAUGUCACAAGACUUUUCAAAAGCUCCUAUGUUAUGAGAAAAACUGCCAAUAUCUGCUAAACUAGAAAGCACAGCUGAUGACGGAUGUCCUAAGCGACGAUGCCAUAGUUCACGUGUUUGGAGUCGUCCAGCAAGACCUGCGAUUACGCCAGUGUAGUGGUAGACCCCAUUACGCUCUUCACCCGCACCAAUCAAAGUCCUCGAAGCUAGGUCCUGUAUCACACAAAACUUUCUAGUAAAUAACACAUAACAUGCGAUAUCACGUAGUAACUGAGCAACUGAUAUAAGAGUGAUAGAGAGAUGUGGCGCGUAGAACACGUUUGUAAGAACAAGACGUUGUCCUAGCUGUAAGCUGCCAUGUUUUGUUGCCCAAGUGAUAUUGCCGUCUGGUAAUGAGAUUGGACAGGCUUGUAUGGUGGAGAUGUUGGUAAGCAAUCCGAUGUCUCCAGUCAUGUGGUGAGAUGCACCGGAGUCUAUGAUGAUAUCAUGUUUUCUGUCUGUACCAUACAAAUAUAGUUUGUUUCGCUUACCAGAAAGUUUUUCAGUAGAACUCUGCUUCUGGCCGUUCAAGAAAUUUGCGAGUGCUGCUAAUUGGUCUGCGGUGAAGUUUGGAAUACCUGAUGGUUGAGAUUCAGAUUCACGAGUCGUUGCAUUGUUUGCUCGAAAACCUGAGCCACGGCCACCGCGUCCUCGUCCUUGUAUUGUUUUGUCUGAUCAUCUGCCUCCAGUUAAUUUGCUUUUGUCGGUCCACCAUUCGGGAAAACCAACGAGUUGGAAGCAGUUGGUUGCAUUGUGUCCCGUUUUUCCACAGUGUGUGCACGCUGUAGAUGGACGUGUAAACCUUGUGGCUGAUGCUUGUUCCAGAGGACGAGAAUACGUUGUUGCAGAUAAACCCACUGCAGAGAUUCGUUCCUCGUUAACUUUCAUAGAGUUCAAGUGUCUUUCUUCUUGAAUUAUCUGAGAAUACACUGUUUCAAGUGUCAUAUCGGUUUGUCUACUGAGGAGGUUUGAUCGAACUGUCCCGAAUCGAGAGUUAUCUAAUCCCAUAAGGAAUUGAUGAACUCUAACUUUCUCCUGACUCUUUUCGUAUUUCACCAUUGAGCUUCAUUCAGCGUUUUCACAGCAACAUGUGAAACCUUUGUCCAAGUCAGCAAGGUCGUCCCACAUGACUUUGAGUCGUCCGUAGAAGAUUUCAACUGUGUCACCAUCUUGCUUGCAUGCUGUUAUAUCUGCGAGGAGUUGAUGAAGUCGAGUGUCGUCGUUGACUGAGAACCGUCGCUGAAGGCUUGCCCACAUAGUUUUAGCACUAUCAACGAGAGAGAUGGAAGGUCGUAGUUUUGGUUCAUUGCUACUAUAUAUCCAUCCGAUGUUCCGUACGGCCUCGCCCUAAGUUUGCACACUCGACCAUUCUCCUCAACUAUAUGCUUCUAAGUCCCUCCUAGACUUGGCCCUAUCUUUGUACAGAGAGAGAAAGUAGACACACUAAACAAAAGUCAAAAGCAAAGACUCUUCAGACAAAGGCUAAUUCCGUAAUUUAACAAAAUGGAACGCGGCACGGGUGCUAUAUAUUAUAUUGACCCGCCGGCCUAAACGUGACCAUAAUAAUUCAAAAACCCUUUACCAAAAACAACACAACUCACAAAGAACAACAACAUCAAUGGCGACGGAGCAAAGCAAGAUUCUGGUGAUCGGAGGAACUGGUUACAUCGGAAAGUUCAUCGUCGAAGGCAGCGCCAAGUCAGGCCACCAAACAUUCGCUCUCGUCAGAGAAUCCUCCCUCUCUGACCCCGUCAAGGGCAAAAUCGUCCAGAACUUCAAAGAUCUCGGCGUCACGAUACUAUACGUAAGAUUCUUGGUCUCUAAAUUCUAUCAAACGAGCAGAUCCAUGAUAUGUAUUAGUCAACCAUAUGUUAUACGCAGGGAGACUUAAGCGACAAAGAAAGCUUGGUGAAGGCCAUUCAACACGUUGAUGCAGUCAUCUCCACCGUUGGUCUCUCUCAACUCAUGAACCAGAUUAAUAUCAUUUCUGCUAUUAAAGAAUCUGGCAAGCAUAUUAAGGUCAGUGGUGUUUUUAUUUCAAGAUUGUAAACAAUACGUUACAAUAUGUUUUGUUGAUGUGUUUGGUUACGAGUUUACAGAGAUUCUUGCCUUCUGAGUUUGGCAAUGACGUGGAUCGAACGGUGGCGAUUGGACCAGCAAAGUCGGAGUUCGCAAUGAAGGCUGAGAUCCGCCGUGUCGUUGAAGCUGAAGGUGUACCGUACACAUAUGUUAUCAACAAUUGCUUUAAUGGAUAUUUCUUGGCUACACUUGCUCAAUGUGAAACGAGACUCACUUCUCCUCCUAGAGACAAAGUCACCAUCUACGGCGAUGGAAACUCUAAAGGUAACAUUAAGAGAGCAUGAUCAUCUGAUUGAAAAAUAGAUUUUGUUACUAAAUUUCAGUUUAGGUGACGCUUGGAAGGCAAAUCGGUCAUAAGCGAUUGUUCUAAAAUAUAUAUAUUUUUUAAAUUUGAUCUGAGCGAUGCCUAGCCGUCUGCCUAAAUAAUCUCUUAUAACACGUAUAAUUACCGCCUAAUGAUUUUUUGAACAAUGAUCGAAUGAAAUUGCAGCCAUUUUAAACAAAGAGGAAGACAUUGCUGCAUACACCAUGAGAGCUGUCGAUGAUCCAAGGACUCUCAACAAGACUGUCUACAUAAACCCUCCGAAGAACAUUGUUUCGCAGAACGAUGUAGUUGCCUUGUGGGAGAGCAAGAUUGGUACAACUCUGGAGAAGACUUACGUUUCAGAGGAAGAACUCCUCAAGAAAAUACCACGUGAGAGAGAGAUAAUUUCACAAUUGUUUUAAUACAAUGCAUACACAAUCAAGAUAAUGAGAUUUGCUAAUGCACUUGGAAACGUUGUUGAUGCAGAGUCACCACAUCCUCUGGAUCUUCUGUUGGCUUUGAAUCAUGCCAUCUUUGUGAAAGGAGAUCAAACGUGGUUUACAAUAGAGCCUUCCUUUGGUGUGGAAGCUUCUCAGCUUUACCCUGAUGUCAAGUACAUAAGCGUCGAUGAGUACCUCAACCAGUUUGUGUAAGAAGUAAAGGAAAUGUCUUCGCCUUGUGGCAACUAUUUACUGUAAUGAGAGAUUAUGACCAUUGGUCUGUAAUGCCAAAUUUAAUAAGAC